rnacentral:tRNA from 1 species
GCGUGUGUAGUAUAGUGGGUCAGUACCUCACCUUUGUGGCGGUGAAAUCCCUGGUUCGAGAUCCGGGCACGCGCA